GCUCAGCGGCUGCCAAGGUGCAGGUGCAGAGGUUGGGCACCUUCGGGGGCACAGCUCACAGGCCCCGUGUGCUCUCUGCUUGGCUGCAAGCUGAAGUAAGUCAGUGAUUCAGUAAUUAACUUUAUUUGGCCCAAAGCACCCACAUUUCUGUUCCUAUCGUCAACUGAGCCAUGCCUACCUCGUCAGAAUCUUGCUCAGAUUUUGAGGCCAGAGCCAACCCCCUUAUUCCAGGAAUCCCGCUUUUCAAAAUCACCCAACCCAACCUUUAAUCCUUGCCACGGGCUGUUUUCUUGGAUCCUCUUCAGUCUUGUCUCCUCUAAGUGAAGUCAGCUGUGAAGUUGCAGUUACGCCCGGUAACCAGCAAAAUUGCCACUUCUCUAGUUUUUCCGAGGUGGUGAACGUUUGCCAUUGUGUUCCCACUGGCCUACUCGCUUCUGUGGUCUAUGGCUGUAUAUGAAGAAUCCCACAAGUGUGAUAUAGAGGCUCUGAAGGCCCUGGGGAUGAUGGAGUCAACAGAAGAAAUCCAGAUCUCUGAGUGACUCAAAUGAAUGUGACACAUACAGGAAAUAAACCUUGUGACAUAUCACUUCCUGUCUCCAACUCCUAAGUACUGAGAUCAAAGGCAUGAGAUCCCAAGUGCUGGGAUUAAAGAUGUUUUAAAGCUUGAGCUGGCAAGAUGAACCAGUAAGACAACCCAAGACUGACUCUCAGAGCCCACUGUAGAAGAGAACAAACUCCACAAUGUUGACCUCUCACCUCCACAUGUGUACUGUGGGAUACACAGCCCCUACCCCCAGAUAAGAAAUAAAAACAAACUAAUAAAUAAAAAACAAUUUUUAAAGCU